GGUUGCGAUCAUACCAGCACUAAUGCACCGGAUCCCAUCAGAAUUCCGCAGUUAAGCGUGCUUGGGCGAGAGUAGUACUAGGAUGGGUGACCCCCUGGGAAGUCCUCGUGUUGCGACCC
rnacentral:rRNA from 1 species